GUGUCAGCCGCCGCGGUAAUACGUAGGGGGCGAGCGUUGUCCGGAUUUACUGGGCGUAAAGGGUGAGUAGGCGGUUAUAUAAGUCAGAUGUAAAAGGCUAUGGCUUAACCAUAGUUAGCAUUUGAAACUGUAUGACUUGAGUGCAGGAGAGGUAAGCGGAAUUCCUAGUGUAGCGGUGAAAUGCGUAGAUAUUAGGAGGAACACCAGUGGCGAAGGCGGCUUACUGGACUGUAACUGACGCUGAGUCACGAAAGCGUGGGUAGCAAACAGGAUUAGAUACCCUGGUAGUCCACGCCGUAAACGAUGAGUGCUAGGUGUUGGGUAGUAAUACUCAGUGCCGAAGUAAACACAAUAAGCACUCCGCCUGGGGAGUACGUACGCAAGUAUGAAACUCAAAUGAAUUGGCGG
rnacentral:rRNA from 1 species